AGGAGCAACAACCCCAGUGGCGGGGCCGCUCUGGAAACCUGGAUUCAGCUCCAGCAGGAACUCCGGAGCUCUCCGUCUGCAGGGCCUGGAGGCUCCGGGGCGGG
rnacentral:pre_miRNA from 1 species